CAGAAUUAGCUAACUUUCAAAAACAUCUGGAAAAAUGAAGACUUGGGUAAAAAUCGUAUUUGGAGUUGCCACCUCUGCUGUGCUUGCCUUAUUGGUGAUGUGCAUUGUCUUACGCCCUUCAAGAGUUCAUAACUCUGAAGAAAAUACAAUGAGAGCACUCACACUGAAGGAUAUUUUAAAUGGAACAUUUUCUUAUAAAACAUUUUUUCCAAACUGGAUUUCAGGUAAGACAAGAAUAUCUUCAUCAAUCUGCAGAUAACAAUAUAGUACUUUAUAAUAUUGAAACAGGACAAUCAUAUACCAUUUUGAGUAAUAGAACCAUGAAAAGUGUGAAUGCUUCAAAUUACGGCUUAUCACCUGAUCGGCAAUUUGUAUAUCUAGAAAGUGAUUAUUCAAAGCUUUGGAGAUACUCUUACACAGCAACAUAUUACAUCUAUGACCUUAGCAAUGGAGAAUUUGUAAGAGGAAAUGAGCUUCCUCGUCCAAUUCAGUAUUUAUGCUGGUCGCCUGUUGGGAGUAAAUUAGUAAGCAUAUGUCUAUCAAAACAAUAUCUAUUUGAAACAAAGACCAGGAGAUCCACCUUU
rnacentral:lncRNA from 1 species